rnacentral:rRNA from 1 species
AACGAACGCUGGCGGCAGGCUUAACACAUGCAAGUCGAGCGGGCCCUUCGGGGUCAGCGGCCGACGGGUGAGUAACACGUGGGAACGUACCUUUUGGUUCGGAACAACUCCGGGAAACUGGAGCUAAUACCGGAUAAGCCCUUAGGGGGAAAGAUUUAUCGCCAAAAGAUCGGCCCGCGUCUGAUUAGCUAGUUGGUGGGGUAACGGCCCACCAAGGCGACGAUCAGUAGCUGGUCUGAGAGGAUGAUCAGCCACACUGGGACUGAGACACGGCCCAGACUCCUACGGGAGGCAGCAGUGGGGAAUAUUGGACAAUGGGCGCAAGCCUGAUCCAGCCAUGCCGCGUGAGUGAUGAAGGCCUUAGGGUUGUAAAGCUCUUUUGUCCGGGAAGAUAAUGACUGUACCGGAAGAAUAAGCCCCGGCUAACUUCGU